AUUGAACGCUGGCGGCAUGCCUUACACAUGCAAGUCGAACGGCAGCACGGACUUCGGUCUGGUGGCGAGUGGCGAACGGGUGAGUAAUGCAUCGGAACGUGCCAUUGAGUGGGGGAUAACGUAGCGAAAGUUGCGCUAAAUACCGCAUAUUCUGUGAGCAGGAAAGCAGGGGACCGCAAGGCCUUGCGCUCUUUGAGCGGCCGAUGUCAGAUUAGCUAGUUGGUGAGGUAAAGGCUUACCAAGGCGACGAUCUGUAGCGGGUCUGAGAGGAUGAUCCGCCACACUGGAACUGAGACACGGUCCAGACUCCUACGGGAGGCAGCAGUGGGGGAAUUUUUGGACAAAUGGGGGCGAACCCUCGAUCCAGCCAU
rnacentral:rRNA from 1 species